GAACAACCUGGCCAGAGGAGUGCUGGGUCAGAGAGGCAGCAGCAGACUCGCUGGGAGAGGUCACCCACCAGAUGCAUUCUGACGGCAGAGCCUGGAGGACUUGCCAGCGUGAAGAGCAAGAGAAAGAACUCAGUCAAGGGGGUGCUGCUCCAAGGCUCCAGGCCGAGGACGAGGCCCCAGGGCUGCGUGAGCACAGAGAAACGGCCAUCUGCAGACUGAAGGAAGAGGCCUCAGGAGAAACCAACCCCGAUGCUGAUGCUUUGAUCUUGAACUCCCAGCCUCCUGAAUGAUGAGAAAAUAAACUUCUGAUCCAGCCUUC